rnacentral:rRNA from 1 species
CAUCGCUCUGCCAUAUAAGAGGUCCAGCCUGCCCAGUGACUCUGUUCAACGGCCGCGGUAUCCUAACCGUGCGAAGGUAGCGUAAUCACUUGUUCUUUAAAUGAGGACUAGUAUGAAUGGCCCCACGAGGGCUGCACUGUCUCCUUUUUCUAAUCAAUGAAACUAAUCUCCCCGUGAAGAAGCGGGGAUAACCAUAUAAGACGAGAAGACCCUAUGGAGCUUUAAACAACUGAAACAAUUGCUUUUCCCUUAACUUCUCCCGAGCUCUUUAUUUUAUCUAAGCAUCUUUAUUUCUAGUUUUAGGUUGGGGUGACCACGGAGCAAAACCAAACCUCCAUGAAGAAACGAGUAUUUUUUAAGCUACAAACUACCUUUUUAAGCAUCAACAAAUUGACCUUCAUUGACCCAAUAUAUUGAUCAACGAACCCAAGUUACCCUAGGGAUAACAGCGCAAUCUACUUCAAGAGCUCAUAUCGACAAGUAGGUUUACGACCUCGAUGUUGGAUCAGGGUAUCCUAGUGGUGCAGCCGCUACUAAUGGUUCGUUUGUUCAACGAUUAAAACCCU